rnacentral:sRNA from 1 species
CUAGGGAGCUAGACUGAGACAAGCCUGGCCCUGACUGUCGCCUCCUGCCUUCUGGUCCUGGCCAUUCCUGCCCCUUUCUCUCUCCAGAGCUUGGGAGGGGUCAGAACAUUGCUCUAGCCGCUGGUGAUCUCUCCUGGUUGCCAACCCUCCUGGCCAUGGCUGAUCUCUGCCCUGAGAUGCUCAGGUUUGAAAGCCAAGCUGCCCAGGGAAGGGACUUCUCAAAGGUCGCGAGUCCAGUGAGUGGCAGAAGGGGGAUGUAAAGCCCAGCCCCUCUGAUGGAGUGUCCAGCGCUCGUCCCGUGCACUCCACGCCCCUGUGUACCCAGCUACUUGUUUAUUCAUUUGGUUUAUACGUUUGGUCGUUUAUUCAUUUGGUCAGUGCACAUUCUUUUAUGGCCACACACCUGCUAGGGCAGUG